rnacentral:rRNA from 1 species
CCAGACUCCUACGGGAGGCAGCAGUGGGGGAUAUUGGACAAUGGGGGAAACCCUGAUCCAGCGACGCCGCGUGAGUGAAGAAGUAAUUCGUUAUGUAAAGCUCUAUCAGCAGGGAAGAAUAAAUGACGGUACCUGAGUAAGAAGCCCCGGCUAACUACGUGCCAGCAGCCGCGGUAAUACGGAGGAUGCGAGCGUUAUCCGGAUUUAUUGGGUUUAAAGGGUGCGUAGGCGGGACGUUAAGUCAGCGGUAAAAAUGCGGAGCUCAACUCCGUCGAGCCGUUGAAACUGCCGUUCUUGAGUGAGCGAGAAGUAUGCGGAAUGCGUGGUGUAGCGGUGAAAUGCAUAGAUAUCACGCAGAACUCCGAUUGCGAAGGCAGCAUACCGGCGCUCAACUGACGCUGAAGCACGAAAGCGUGGGGAUCGAACAGGAUUAGAUCCCCUUGUAAA